rnacentral:rRNA from 1 species
GUAGGUAGAGAAUACUAAGGCGAAGAGAUAAUACUUGUAAAGGAACUCGGCAAACUGUCUUCAUAAGUUAGACGAUAUGAAGAACCACUGGAUGCUAUUACUCCUUAUUAUUUAUUGAAGGUUAGCCUUAAUAAAAUAGAAAUUUCAUAUGCUUGACGCAAGUUAAGUUUAUGUUUAUAAGGAAGUGUAAACCUAUCCUUUAAUUAGGUUAGGAUGAAGCUUCGCCGUAUAUUACCUUAUUGGUGAUACAUGGCAUUAAUAGCAUUUAAGUGGUGGCACAGAAUCGGAGGCCCCGACUGUUUACUUAAAACACAGCUUUCUGCGACGAAUAAUAUCUUUGUAUAGAAAGCGAAUUUUGCCCAAUGCCAUUAAUAUAAGGUCGAUAAGCGCAUAGCGUAAUUAUUGGCUGAAGUUCUGGUCAAUGGCGGUCUUAUCUAUGAGGAUCCUAAGGUAGCAAAAUUAAUUGUCCAUUAAAUGUGGUCCUGACUGAAUAAAGUAACGAUGGUCUCGCUGUCUCUACAAGUAUCUCAGUGAAAUUGAAUUAGCCGUGCAGAUGCGGUUUAACUUCGGGUAGACGGGAAGACCCUA